rnacentral:rRNA from 1 species
CCUACGGGAGGCAGCAGUGGGGAAUAUUGGGCAAUGGAGGAAACUCUGACCCAGCAAUGCCGCGUGAAUGAAGAAGGUCUUCGGAUUGUAAAGUUCUUUAGUCAGGGAAGAAUAAAAUGACGGUACCUGAAGAAUAAGCUCCGGCUAACUACGUGCCAGCAGCCGCGGUAAUAAGGAGGGAGCAAGCGGUGUUCGGAAUGACUGGGCGUAAAGGGGGCGUAGGGGGUUAUAAAAGUUAGAAGUGAAAUACCCCGGGCUUACCUCGGGUGCUGCUUCUAAAACUGUAAGACUUGAGUGCAGGAGAGGUGGGUGGAAUUCCUAGUGUAGGGGUGGAAUGCGUAGAUAUUAGGAGGAACACCAGAGGCGAAGGCGGCUAACUGGACUGCAACUGACGCUGAGGCACGAAAGUGUGGGGAGCAAACAGGAUUAGAUACCCGGGUAGUC